rnacentral:rRNA from 1 species
AUUGAACGCUGGCGGCAUGCCUUACACAUGCAAGUCGAACGGCAGCACGGGUGCUUGCACCUGGUGGCGAGUGGCGAACGGGUGAGUAAUACAUCGGAACGUACCUUAUCGUGGGGGAUAACGCAGCGAAAGUUGCGCUAAUACCGCAUACGCCCUGAGGGGGAAAGCGGGGGACCGUAAGGCCUCGCGCGAUUAGAGCGGCCGAUGUCUAAUUAGCUUGUUGGUGAGGUAAAAGCUCACCAAGGCGAUGAUCAGUAGCUGGUCUGAGAGGACGAUCAGCCACACUGGGACUGAGACACGGCCCAGACUCCUACGGGAGGCAGCAGUGGGGAAUUUUGGACAAUGGGGGCAACCCUGAUCCAGCAAUGCCGCGUGAGUGAAGAAGGCCCUCGGGUUGUAAAGCUCUUUUGUCAGGGAAGAAACAGCAGCUCUAACACAGUCUGCGAAUGACGGUACCUGAAGAAUAAGCACCGGCUAACUACGUGCCAGCAGCCGCGGUAA